rnacentral:rRNA from 1 species
GGGCCGCACGCGCGCUACACUGACGGAGCCAGCGAGUAUUAACCUUGGCCGAGAGGUCCGGGAAAUCUUGUGAAACUCCGUCGUGCUGGGGAUAGAGCAUUGUAAUUAUUGCUCUUCAACGAGGAAUUCCUAGUAAGCGCAAGUCAUCAGCUUGCGUUGAUUACGUCCC